AAAAUGACUCUCAGUAACGGAUAUCUCGGCUCUCGUAUCGAUCAAGAACGUAGCGAAAUGCAAUACUUGGUGUGAAUUGCAGAAUCCCGUGAACCAUCGAGUCUUUGAACACAAGUUGCGAGGUCAUGCUUGCCUAGGAGUCACA
rnacentral:rRNA from 1 species